rnacentral:rRNA from 1 species
UACGAAGGGAACUAGCGUUGUUCGGAAUUACUGGGCGUAAAGCGCACGUAGGCGGGUUGUUAAGUCAGGGGUGAAAUCCUGGAGCUCAACUCCAGAACUGCCUUUGAUACUGGCAACCUAGAGACUGGAAGAGGUUAGUGGAAUUCCCAGUGUAGAGGUGAAAUUCGUAGAUAUUGGGAAGAACACCAGUGGCGAAGGCGGCUAACUGGUCCAGUACUGACGCUGAGGUGCGAAAGCGUGGGGAGCAAACAGG